UCACAAAGGCCCAACCCAAGCUCAAGAAGGUGAUGGGCUCAAAUCAAGAAGCCCAACCAUACUUAAUUGAAAAUCAGGCCAAAUUGUCAAAGUGGCCCAAUUCGUAAAGUUUUAUUUUUUUUAAUACUUAGUUAAAUUUUUAUGUAAAUAUUCAGUCCAAGAGGCCCAAUUAAAAGCCCUUGGCCAAAUUUCCAUUUAAAUAUUUAAGUAAUUAGGAGUUUUUUUAUUUUUAGUUUUCUAAUUAGAUUAGGAAAACACUUGAGAUGCCUAUAUAAAGGCUUGGCCAGCCACCUUGUUAUUAACUUCUCAAAUAUAUCAAAAAUU
rnacentral:lncRNA from 1 species